UCCCGUGAGAGUAACGAGAUCGAGGACAAAGAAAGAGAUUGUACUUCGAUCUGUCUCGUCACCGUCGAGAUCUUUACCCCACGUAACAGCACAAGAGGGAAGUUCGUAGCAAUGGGUUUUGGAUGUCAGUUCAAACAGGGGAUGAGAAAUUUAAAAGAAGAUUUGACGCAGAAAAUCUCGCUAGAUAAUGCUCGUAAGGAGAGAUUUGCGAAGAGGAAAUCCUCUGGAAGUCUUCUUUUCUGGGAGACUCGUUACUUCCUCCUCGUCACGAGCUCCCUUCUUCCAUGGCGACCAUCUCACGCUGCCGUGCUCCGUCGCCGCCGCAGGGUCGCCGUCGAAGAACUCACGGUCUCUCUUGAAAAGAAAGCUCUCUCGCUGGUGGGUCAAGCUCAGAACCCGAACAAAAUCUCUCUCGUCUGAAAAAUCUCCAGAGGAAGCGAACCCUCUCAGUCCGACGCCGCCGCUCGUCGGCCUGCGUAUUUGCGCCCAGCUCUUACCGGCUCUGCUUCGUUUUCAGGCAAAGAAGGGCUUGAAGCGCUUGGAUUUGGUUCGAGGCUUGUCCACUGGCGUCAACCACCAGGGACGGCUUUCUUUGUUGAUUUCAAGCCGUCGUAGCCAUCUCCGACCGACGUUGUCCACUAUUCUCGGAGUCGUGCAGUUUCACCCCUGUUUUACUCUGUAUACUGAUCCGAGACCUCGAAGAGCCCCCUCAUUCUUGCUCGAUCUGCUUUUCGUCGUUGAUCGAUCCUCACCGCCGAACCAUCUGAGAACUCCAUUCUUCAAUCUGCACAUCGUUCGAAGCUAAAAGCUCGAGCUGUUCAAGGUCUUUGUUUUGCAUAUGACCCUGCGACGUCCUUGUGGCAGCUACCAAUGAGGCAAUGACUUGGAGACAAUGAUCUUUGUUUACAGUACCGUCGAAGUUCGAGUUGGCUUCUCUGUCGCAGCCCAUGUAGCACGCUUAUAGUUCGUAUUCUUUGAUAAAAUCUACAUCCAUGCCCACUGGUCGGAGGUGGCAGCUAAUACAGGUAAGUGACUAGAGGCAAGUGACUGAUGAUUCAGCAACAAUGCUUGGUAGGAUAGUGAUUAGGGUUUGGCGACGGUAGUAGGAAAUGACAUUUGUGGUAAUAGAUUUAUUUUUUGGUCGGAUGUAGUAAUAGACUUUUGGUUUA